rnacentral:rRNA from 1 species
AUUGAACGCUGGCGGCAUGCUUUACACAUGCAAGUCGAACGGUAACAGGUUAAGCUGACGAGUGGCGAACGGGUGAGUAAUGCAUCGGAACGUGCCCGGUCGUGGGGGAUAACGCAGCGAAAGCUGCGCUAAUACCGCAUACGAUCUGAGGAUGAAAGCGGGGGACCGUAAGGCCUCGCGCGAUCGGAGCGGCCGAUGUCAGAUUAGGUAGUUGGUGGGGGAAAGGCUCACCAAGCCAACGAUCUGUAGCUGGUCUGGGAGGCCGAACAGCCACGCGGGGACUGAACCACGGCCCAGACUCCUACGGGGGGAAGCAGGGGGGAAUUUUGGACAAUGGGCGAAAGCCUGAUCCAGCAAUGCCGCGUGCAGGAAGAAGGCCUUCGGGUUGUAAACUGCUUUUGUACGGAGCGAAAAGGUCUCCUCUAAUACAGGGGGCUCAUGACGGUACCGUAAGAAUAAGCACCGGCUAACUACGUGCCAGCAGCCGCCGUAA